rnacentral:sRNA from 1 species
UCCUAGCCCCGAUAGUAGCGACAUCCUUUUGUUUUUUUCUUUAAAAAACAAAAGAUAUAGCGGAUAGCGGGAUUAGCU